rnacentral:rRNA from 1 species
AUACAGAGGGUGCUAGCGUUAAUCGGAUUUACUGGGCGUAAAGCGUGUGUUAGGUGGUUGUUCAAGUCAGUUGUGAAAUCCCUGGGCUCAACCUGGGAACUGCUUCUGAGACUGAACGACUAGAGUACGGUAGAGGGUGGUGGAAUUUCCGGUGUAGCGGUGAAAUGCGUAGAUAUCGGAAGGAACAUCAAUGGCGAAGGCAGCCACCUGGGCCUGUACUGACACUGAGACGCAAAAGCGUGGGGAUC